CUCUUCUGUCUCUGCAGGAGCCUGAGCGCCUGUUCGUCUCUGUCCCUCUUCACACGAACGGAUGAUGUAGCUGUCGCUAUGGCUACGGCAAUGUGUUAUUGUGACAACACCGGAAGUACAAGUACAAUUGUCAUUUGAUUUGUUAUUUAUUAUGUUUAUUUUAUUACGUUAAAUAAGUUAAUGAUGGAAAGUAAAUUGAGUCUAGUUCAUGGUUCUGCUGUCAAUCUAAAUGAUUAAUGGUCAAAGUCAAACGCCACCGGAAAUAGUCAGUGAAGUCUGAGGCUGGAAGUGACGCACUUUGUUUACCCAAGUACGUCGAGAGAGAAAGAGACAGAAAGAGUUGAGAUAGGACUAUCUACUACUGGCUAAGCAGGCGAAACGUUUUCACGGUGUUCCAUAUCUUCAAAGAAUAAAGUGAUUGUGGACAUCAGUACGAGGCGUAUAGCGUUUUUAACCAGGGUAGAUACAGAUGAGCUCAUGUAUUCAGGUAUUAAUCGAUGAUGUCGGAUCAUGACUCUGGAUCUUUCCGGUCACUUUGACCCUGAUGUCCUGACCGUGCGUGUCACGUCACGUCUCGUGUUGUGUCGCAGGUUUCUCACGGUAACCUGAGACUCAGCCGAUCACAGUAAAAUAAUAUGAAUGUUGUUGAAACACUCACCAGUCUCUGAAUUCACGUUUGCUCCCUCUGCUCUGAACACUGCCGGCGGAGAAAGUGAGGUCCCAAACGAGCGUUCUGUCUCCAUUUAACAACUUUCUGCACUAUGUCACGCAAAAAUUAUGUUUUUGGUCCUCAAAGAACUGAAACUGAGGUCUUCACCGCAGGUGGAUCUCAUUUUACGAAAAGCCUAAACACCUACGCAUGUCAGCUAUUUGCUGGGGUUGAGCCGGAAACUAAAGUGAAGGAAACACUGAUUCAAAGCAACAACUUUAACAUGUAUUGAUCUCAUGACUGAAAAAGGUGAGAAAAUCUGAACAUAAUCGUUAACUGGUGACCUCAGUGGUUCACUUACAUUUAACUCAAUGUGGGCAACUAAAGACAUUCUUACAUGUGUGCACAGUGAAUCUUCAAAUAUUUACAACAACACGAGUAACAGAGAGGAAGACUUAAAACAAAUGAGUCACUUCAAAAGUAAGAAUUUCAGAAUAUAUGACCUAUAAUAAAUAAAUAAACACAAAAUCCCUCCCUGGUGAGAGUUAAAUCCAACGUGUUAAGCUCUGAUAUGUUAAAGAAAAAUACAAACGAAGUUUCCUCCAAAAACCAGGUUGUGCUGGUGUGAAACAGUUGUGAUGCUUCCUGUGAUGUGCAGGAGAUGAAGUUGAUUUAAAAUCAUAUACAUGAGAGCAAGUUUGAGAAAUGCUCCAAAGCAGGAUUUUUUUUAUUAAAAGAGAAGCUAACUUGUACAAACUUGCGGUAUCUUUUCUUUGUACCCCAGCUUCAUCUGUGUCCUGAGAAACGAUCUUUUCUAAAGCAGGCGAAAUUAUUUAAAAAACACAGCACUGUUGAAAAGCUGUAAAAAUAACUAAACUGUUUCCCCUAUUCAACCUUUUCACCUUUGAUAACUUUAUUAAUUUUAGUCAUCUUCAAUUGUUUUUCAAGUGUGUAAAUAACCAUGUGUCACCACUGUUUUCUGAAUUGGCCAUCAGAUGUCAGAGCUCUCGUCGGGCAAAUACACGAGCCUCCAUCAAUGGUGAUUGUCUUGUUCCCAUGCACAGGACAUCUUUCGGUCAGUCUGUCUUCUCUGCAAAGGGGGCAAAACUAUGGAACCUCUUGCCCACUAGUCUAAAACUAGAGACUAACAGCAACACUUUUAACAGAGAACUAAAACAACGGCUCAAAUCAAAUCAACAGUGCUCACACAAAUAAUUUACAACUGGUUAUUGUUUGAUCAUGCUGCCUUUGUUCUCUACGUAGCCUAUAUAUAUAUAUUCAACUCAUUAUAUUGCUGCUCUGUACUCUACUGUAUACUGCAUUUUUACUCUUUUUAAUUAUCACUAUCAGUUUUUUAUCAGUAUUUGAUCUUGUUUCUGUCUUGUUCAGUUUCUUUUGUUGUUUUCAAAAAGCCUCCUGUGGACAGGUGUUGUAAACUAGCAUUUAUGCUAAUACACUGUAAACAAUGCAUCUGGUUCGUCCAAUGACAUUGUCAUGUCCAUGUCCAAAUAAAAUCUACUAACUAUU